GCCGCCUUCCAGCAAUUUGGCUGCGGCUGCGGCGUUUGCCGUCGCGGAGGAUUUCUGUACUCUGUACCAAUAAAAGCAGCAGCUGAAAGGUGCGUGCCCCACAUACGAGGUCCCACUGAGAAACAAUGUCAGUUAUCUCUCGCAGGCUGAAGAACUUUAAGAGGAUGUAGAAUCCUGCAAAAAAAGGCAGGCUUCAUCCCUGGGGCGGGAGACCUUCUGGCUUCCGUCCCGUUCAGACAUGUAGCCUUCGCUCUGCAAGGUG